CUCAUCUUGGCGGACAUGCUGUCGCGAGACACAGCCGUGAAGCCGGACCAGGACGAUGCGGACACUGACGCCGACGUGAAAAUACAUGCCUUUUCCAGAGGUGGAGGAGCUGCGUGACACAUCGGCGACAACCGUCAUCGACAUGCUCGGGCACAUAUUUUCGUGAUAUGGUAUUCCAUAUGAGGUGUGUACAGACAACGGUCCCAAUUCAGCAGUCGCGACUUGAGCUGGUUUGCAAGCAAGUAUGACUUCAGACAUGUCACCUCAAGCGCGCAGUUCCCAAGGUCCAACGGACUAGCAGAGAAGGGCGUGCAGGUAGGUAAAAGAAUUUUGAAGAAAACAAAAGACGCACGAGAAGAUUUCUGGCUGGGCCUCCUGAGCUACAGGUCAACACCCUUAGAAGAUGGACUGAUCGCCCUGAAAACUACUCCAAGGAAGGCGAUUAAGGUCGACACUUCCAGAUUUAGUGACCAGAAGAGACAACGCAAGUGUGGAAACGUGUUCAAAAGGGACAUUCCAAACGGGAUCUGCCACCACUGGACAAGUGACAGACUGUUAGGAUCGAGAAAAAGUAUUGGUCAUGGAAAGCGAAAGUGGUCAAGCAGGUGUAUCCAAGAUCGUACGAAGUCUUGACAGAAGACAACAAAAGACUUCGUCGGAACAGGCAACAUGUGCUCCCCACAAGCGAAGCUUUCAUCCAGGGUGCCCUGGAAAGUGAACCCAGUACUUACGAAGUCCUAACAAACUGCACCUGCUACGCCCGACUGUUUAAUGCAACACCAGUCAUGGCGACAUACCCCACUACAUCAUUACGAAGAUACAGCCGCCAGUCCAGGCCACCUCAGCGCCUACAAUAUGACUCAAGUUUCCAACAGUUGCCCUGAACUCUUUCCCUUUUUUGUGUUUGUGUGCUGUUAAUACGUGCAUUACACUAGUUGUUCUAGUAUGUGCACCUUCAAAAGGAGAAAGAUGUAUCGUGAUGUGAUAGUGCAACACACGUCAUUUCCACUAGACACGAGCCGUGUCCUUUCUCUUCCCUCUUUCCUGAUGGUGUGGCUUUAUAAGCAAGCGCAAUAAAGGACUCGGGGUUCUUUUUCACCCGUCAA